GAUGAACGCUGGCGGCGUGCCUAAUACAUGCAAGUCGAGCGAACAGAUGAGGAGCUUGCUCCUCUGACGUUAGCGGCGGACGGGUGAGUAACACGUGGAUAACCUACUUAUAAGACUGGGAUAACUUCGGGAAACCGGAGCUAAUACCGGAUAAUAUAUUGAACCGCAUGGUUCAAUAGUGAAAGACGGUUUUGCUGUCACUUAUAGGUGGAUCUGCGCCGCAUUAGGUAGUUGGUAAGGUAACGGCUUCCCAUGGCAACGAUGCGUAGCCGACCUGAGAGGGGGAUCGGCCACACUAGAACUUAGACACGGUCCAGACUCCUACGGUAGGCAGCAGUAGGGAAGCUUCCGCAAUGGGCGAAAGCCUGACGAAGCAACGCCGCGUGAGUGAUGAAGGUCUUCGGAUCGUAAAACUCUGUUAUUAGGGAAGAACAAAUGUGUAAGUAACUAUGCACGUCUUGACGGUACCUAAUCAGAAAGCCACGGCUAACUACGUG
rnacentral:rRNA from 1 species